rnacentral:rRNA from 1 species
AUUCAUUAAUGCAGCUGGCACGACAGGUUUCCCGACUGGAAAGCGGGCAGUGAGCGCAACGCAAUUAAUGUGAGUUAGCUCACUCAUUAGGCACCCCAGGCUUUACACUUUAUGCUUCCGGCUCGUAUGUUGUGUGGAAUUGUGAGCGGAUAACAAUUUCACACAGGAAACAACAAGGCGAUGAUCAGUAAGGGCUCUUAGCGGAGAGGCCCUGAGAAGGAAUCUGAGACACUAUUCCUAGCUCUACGGGGUGCAGCAGCCGAGGAAAUUUUCCAAUGCUCGUAAGAGUGAGAAAAUUAGCCAGAGUGUUUUCUUUACGAAAACUUUUGUUUGCUGUAAAAAGGCAGACGAAUAAGGACUGGGUAAGACCGGUGCCAGCCGCCGCGGUAAUCCCGGCGGUCCAAGUCGCAUCCACAAUUAUUGGGUCUAAAACAUCCGUAGCUUGUUUUGUAAGUCUCUUGUGAAAUCUCAAAUCUCAAGUUUGAGCCGUGCAAGAGAUACUGCUAAACUAGAGACCGGAAGACGCAAAGAGUAUGUUGGAGGUAGUGGUAAAAUAUGUUAAUCUCCAACAGACUAACAAUGGCGAAGGCACUUUGCGAGUACGGAUCUGACAGUGAGGGAUGAAGGCUAGGGGCGCAAAAGGGAUUAGAUACCCCUGUAGUCCUAGCAGUAAACGCUGCUCACUAAACAUUAGCACCUCCUCGAGAGGUGUUAGUGCUGUAGGGAAGCCGAAGAGUGAGCUACCUGGGAAGUAUAGUCGCAAGACCGAAACUUAAAGGAAUUGGCGGGGGAGCAC